AUACGGAGGGGGCUAGCGUUGUUCGGAAUUACUGGGCGUAAAGCGCGCGUAGGCGGCCGUUCAAGUUGGGCGUGAAAGCCCGGGGCUCAACCCCGGAGGUGCGCACAAUACUGGAUGGCUCGAGGCCGGAAGAGGAGAGUGAAUUCCCAGUGUAGAGGUGAAAUUCGUAGAUCUUGGGAAGAACACCGGCGGCGAAGGCGGCUCUCUGGUCCGGUUCUGACGCUGAGGCGCGAAAGCGUGGGGAGCAAACAGGAUUAGAAACCCCGGUAGUCC
rnacentral:rRNA from 1 species